AACCCAUAGUGAGGGCACCUCCUCAAAAGAUCCUUGUAUCUCUUCCAUGCAUCAUAGGCGUUUCUAGAUCCAUCUGCACAAAAGAAGAGAUGUCAUUCCUCAACUU
rfam:Gossypium hirsutum cultivar TM-1 chromosome 4, whole genome shotgun sequence